rnacentral:rRNA from 1 species
CCUACGGGGGGCUGCAGUAGGGAAUCUUCCACAAUGGGCGAAAGCCUGAUGGAGCAACGCCGCGUGGGUGAAGAAGGUCUUCGGAUCGUAAAACCCUGUUGUUAGAGAAGAAAGUGCGUGAGAGUAACUGUUCACGUUUCGACGGUAUCUAACCAGACAGCCACGGCUAACUACGUGCCAGCAGCCGCGGUAAUACGUAGGUGGCAAGCGUUAUCCGGAUUUAUUGGGCGUAAAGGGAACGCAGGUGGUCUUUUAAGUCUGAUGUGAAAGCCUUCGGCUUAACCGGAGUAGUGCAUUGGAAACUGGGAGACGUGAGUGCAGAAGAGGAGAGUGGAACUCCAUGUGUAGCGGUGAAAUGCGUAGAUAUAUGGAAGAACACCAGUGGCGAAAGCGGCUCUCUGGUCUGUAACUGACGCUGAGGUUCGAAAGCGUGGGUAGCAAACAGGAUUAGAUACCCGGUAGUC